rnacentral:rRNA from 1 species
UGGAUAAGGCAUGCAAGUCAAGGGGGCCCGCAAGGGCAACCGGCAGACGAGGCAGUAAUAAUCAAGUACGCACCCUGGAGUCGGGCAUAGCUCGCCGAAAGGCGGGGUAAUUCCCGAUAGUCCCGCAAGGGUAAAGUUUUUCGCUCUGGGAGCGGCUUGAUCGGUAUCAGCUAGUUGGUAAGGUAAUGGCUUACCAAGGCAAUGACGCCUAGGGGACCUGAGAGGGUGACCCCCACCGAUGGAACUGAGACACGGUCCAUACACCUACGGGUGGCUGCAGUCGAGAAUCUUCCGCAAUGGACGAAAGUCUGACGGAGCGACGCCGCGUGGAGGAUGGAGUCCUUCGGCAUGUAAACUCC